CAAACACUGAGUGUGCCAGAAACUGGGACCAUCUCUAUGGAAGAGAAGAAAUAGAGGAGAACACACUUCUGCAAUUUCCAGUGCGACUUCCUUGGAUUUUUCACAAUAUGUUUGAAAAGCUAGAAUUCACCAAUAGGAAGGGUUGCUGAAACAGAACUCAGAGAAUCAAAAUUAGAGAUGACAAAGAAACAGCACAAUGACAGGAAUGCAGACCAAUCUAUCAGAGCUCUGCUUUCUGCCUCUAACCUGCUGCCAGAAACCAGCCAAAGACAAGUGCCAAGCAAGAACAGGCAUUAAUAAAUAAACACUGACUAAUCAACGAUAGAAAAGAAGGAUGUGAGCAAGAAUACAAGCAAGAGCAAGUAUCUGUAACCAUGUCUUCCCACCCACCAAACUGUAGGAUGGAGGAGAAAAUUCCCUCCUGUCUAAUCAAAGCAGGCUGCUGACAAGGAGCACCACGUGAGAAGGGAAAGAUGGCCACUCUACGCAAUAUGCCUAUUUUAGUAUGAUGGGUUGGUCUGUCCUUAGCACUUCCCAAUCAGCAGCAGUCACAAAUAGGUCUAAACUUGGAAAAGAAUAAAAAAUAAUUCCCUAUCAAACAAUGAGAAUCAAGAGUAAAAAAAAGAAAUAGCAGUUUGCUGAAAAAGAGACUAAAAUACAUCAGGGCCUUAGAGGAGUUAUUUCUGCAUUCCCUGCACA